rnacentral:rRNA from 1 species
GACGUAGGGGGCGAGCGUUGUCCGGAAUUACUGGGCGUAAAGGGCGUGUAGGCGGCUAUCAUAGUCAGCUGUGAAAUUCCUCGGCUCAACUGAGGGCUUGCAGUUGAAACUGGAUAGCUUGAGUGCAGGAGAGGAAGGUGGAAUUCCCAGUGUAGCGGUGAAAUGCGUAGAUAUUGGGAGGAACACCGGUGGCGAAGGCGGCCUUCUGGCCUGUAACUGACGCUGAGGCGCGAAAGCUAGGGGAGCAAAC